UUUCCGUAGGUGAACCUGCGGAAGGAUCAUUAUUGUAUAACCAAGGUGCGAGGGCUGUUGCUGACCCGUACAGUUGUUCACGCCGGAGUCCCCUCACACAAUUCCAUCUCCCCCCUCGCUGCACCACCGCGUGGGUCCCCCUUCGGCCUGUUCGGAGGCGGGCCUAUGUUUUCACACAUCUUUUUUUUGCAGUGUAGACUGUGUUUUUUGUUUUUUCAAUCACGCCUUCAAACCAACUUUCUAUAACUGCUCUCUUGGCUCUCGAAUCGAUGAGGAACG
rnacentral:misc_RNA from 1 species